AUUGAACGCUGGCGGCAGGCCUAACACAUGCAAGUCGAGCGGAUGAAGGGAGCUUGCUCCUGGAUUCAGCGUCGGACGGUUGAGUAAUGCCUAGGAAUCUGCCUGGUAGUGGGGGAUAACGUCCGGAAACGGGCGCUAAUACCGCAUACGUCCUGCGGGAGAAAGUUGGGGUUCUUCGGACCUCACGCUAUCAGAUGAGCCUAGGUCGGAUUAGCUAGUUGGUUGGGUAAAGUCCUACCAAGGCGACGAUCCGUAACUGGUCUGAGAGGAUGAUCAGUCACACUGGAACUGAGACACGGUCAAGACUACUACGGGAGGCAGCAGUGGGGAAUAUUGGACAAUGGGCGAAAGCAUGAUACAGAAAAGCCGCGUGUGUGAAGAAGGUCUUAGGAUUGUAAAGCACUUUAAGUUGGGAGGAAGGGAAGUAAGUUAAUAACUUGCUGUUUUGACGUUACCAACAGAAUAAGCACCGGCUAACUUCGUG
rnacentral:rRNA from 1 species